rnacentral:rRNA from 1 species
GACGAACGCUGGCGGCGUGCUUAAUACAUGCAAGUCGAGCGGUGAACCCGACUGAAAGCCUUCGGGCUUGACGUUGGGGGAUCAGCGGCGGAUGGGUGAGUAACGCGUGGGUACCUGCCCUAAAGUCUGGGAUAACAACUCGAAAGGGUUGCUAAUACCGGAUGUGACCGAGAGGUUAAAGGCAGAGAUGUCGCUUUAGGAUGGGCCCGCGUCCCAUUAGCUAGUUGGUGAGGUAAGGGCUCACCAAGGCUGCGAUGGGUAGCCGGCCUGAGAGGGUGGACGGCCACACUGGGACUGAGACACGGCCCAGACUCCUACGGGAGCAGCAGUAGGGAAUUUUCCGCAAUGGACGGAAGUCUGACGGAGCGACGCCGCGUGGGGGAAGAAGGCCUUCGGUUGUAAACCGUCUGUCUUCAGGGACGAAGAGGGUGGUGGGAGACGACACCGAACGCCGGUACCGUGAGGAGGAACGCCCCGGACUAACUACGUCGCCGAGCAGGCCGCGGUAACUAAGUACUACUAUCUGUAGGC